CCUACGGGUGGCAGCAGUGAGGAAUAUUGGUCAAUGGGCGGGAGCCUGAACCAGCCAAGUCGCGUGAGGGACGACGGUCCUAUGGAUUGUAAACCUCUUUUGUCGGGGAACAAAGGCGCCCACGGGUGGGUGGAUGAGUGUACCCGAAGAAAAAGCAUCGGCUAACUCCGUGCCAGCAGCCGCGGUCAUACGUAGGAUCCGAGCAUUAUCCGGAGUGACUGGGUGUAAAGAGUUGCGUAGGUGGCAUAAUAAGUAGCUAGUGAAAUCUGGUGGCUCAACCAUUCAGACUAUUAGCUAAACUGUUAAGCUCGAGACCGUUAGGAGUAACUGGAAUGUCUAGUGUAGGAGUGAAAUCCGUAGAUAUUAGAAGGAACACCAAUAGCGUAGGCAGGUUGCUGGGACGGUUCUGACACUAAGGCACGAAAGCGUAGGGAGCAAACGGGAUUAGAUACCCCUGUAGUC
rnacentral:rRNA from 1 species